rnacentral:piRNA from 1 species
UCAAAAACAUUGCCUCCAAAAUAGCCA